GAUGAACGCUAGCGACAGGCCUAACACAUGCAAGUCGAGGGGCAGCACAUGAGUAGCAAUACGAUGGUGGCGACCGGCGCACGGGUGAGUAACACGUAUGCAACCUGCCUGUAAGAGGGGAAUAACCCGGAGAAAUUCGGACUAAUACCGCAUAAUACCACGAGACUGCAUGGUUUUGUGGUUAAACAUUUAUGGCUUACAGAUGGGCAUGCGUAUGAUUAGAUAGUUGGUAGGGUAACGGCCUACCAAGUCUACGAUCAUUAGGGGUUCUGAGAGGAAGGUCCCCCACACUGGUACUGAGACACGGACCAGACUCCUACGGGAGGCAGCAGUGGGGAAUUUUGGACAAUGGGCGCAAGCCUGAUCCAGCCAUGCCGCGUGAGUGAAGAAGGCCUUCGGGUUGUAAAGCUCUUUCGGCCGGGAAGAAAUCGCAUGGGUCAAUACCCUGUGUGGAUGACGGUACCGGAAUAAGAAGCACCGGCUAACUACGUG
rnacentral:rRNA from 1 species